AAUACGGAGGGCGCGAGCGUUACCCGGAUUUACUGGGCGUAAAGGGCGUGUAGGCGGCUUGGGGCGUCCCAUGUGAAAGGCCACGGCUCAACCGUGGAGGAGCGUGGGAUACGCUCAGGCUAGAGGGUGGGAGAGGGUGGUGGAAUUCCCGGAGUAGCGGUGAAAUGCGCAGAUACCGGGAGGAACGCCGAUGGCGAAGGCAGCCACCUGGCUCAUUUCUGACGCUGAGGCGCGAGAGCGUGGGGAGCAAACCGGAUUAGAUACCCGGGUAGUCCACGCCCUAAACGAUGCGCGCUAGGUCUUUGGGGUUUACCUGGGGGCCGAAGCCAACGCGAUAAGCGCGCCGCCUGGGGAGUACGGCCGCAAGGCU
rnacentral:rRNA from 1 species